GGAAGGUGCUCAGAAAAAGGCUGCUGAUCAAAAAACCAAAGUGCCAGAACCUACCAAGACCUGUUCCAGCCAGCCCCAGCCUGCCGGUACCGGGACCAGUACUUCCACCAGCACUCUCUCCAGCAGCAGCAAUGGCAAGCGCGCACCUGCCGGCGGCCAGCAGCCAGCUGUGUCCCGCUACCUGCCUCGUGAGGUGCCUCCGCGCUUCCGCCAGCAGGAGCAGAAGCAGCUACUGAAGAGGGGCCAACCACUGCCCGCGGGGGCUCUGACCAGUGCGAGCCCCACCCAGGGCGCUGGGCCUGCCGGGGUGAGCCCUCCUCCCCUCCCUGGAGCCGGAGCGCAGCCACAGCCCAGCAAGCUCCAGCCAGGUGAGCCACGGAGGGCGGCUUCUCCUCUGGGGUCGUGUGCUGUUUCCCACUCGGCGGCCC